GCAAAACAUUCAGCAGCCAAGAGCAACUGGGCUUUCAUGUUCUCGAGUUCGGAAUGGAGUAUCAAAAUUUUCUCUCAGCAGAGGUCAGAGGAAGCAGACAAAUUUACAGUAGAAUCUCAUCACUUGUGCAUAUUUCAGAGGACAGAUAACUCCAUGCCUUGAAUCAACAGCUUGAAGGUGACUGAAAAUAUAAAUAGUAAUUGGAAUGUUGAGUUAACCACAUUAAUUCUUUGGGUAUAUACCCAGGAACGGGAUUGCUGGCUCAGACGGCUUGUCUACUGGACUGAAUUUAAACACUGUUUGCUUGCAAAUUCUGUAAGAAGAAAAAAUGAGAAAAGGAAUAUGGAAAAGAAAGGGCAGAUGAACCAAGAGCAGAAAAGUUUUGCUAUGGAGCACAUGAAGAUAUUAACUAGAAUCUCUUCCAAGAAUUCAAAGGAUGUAAUGAAAAAGUGCGCUAUAUUUCUCUAUAAAAUGUAUGGUUACUGCAUCUGAAGUAGAGAAAAAUGUUUUUCCUACCAGGUAUGAUGGCUCAUGCCUGUAAUCUCAGAACUUUGGGAGCCAAGGUAGUUGGAUCACCUGAAGUCAGGAGUUCAAGACCAGCCUGGCCAACAUGUGUUUGCCUGACAUGUUUGGAGAUGGUUGACAUCAACUUUGUGACUGAAGGAGAACACUUCUGCCACUUAAUGACUGGAAAAUGCCUCUGCUCCUGUAGGAGAACUGGAGCCAGAUGUGAUGCUGAAUGCAGGCCGGGCCUGUAUGGACCUAACUGCGCUCUCAACCGUCAAUGUGGUCACAAAGCUCACUACAGCCCUCUCAAUGGGAGCUGCUCUUGCCUUUUUAAGACAAUGGGCCCAACCUGUGAGGAAAGUAGUUCAGAUGAUCCUCAAUAA
rnacentral:lncRNA from 13 species